rnacentral:pre_miRNA from 1 species
AGUGUGAUUGCUGGAUUGCAUAGUAAAAGUUUGUUUAGUUUUGUAAGGAACUGCCAAAAUAUCUUCCAAAGUGACUGUACCAUUUUACAUUCCCACCAGCAAU